ACUUAAAAUAUUUUUGAUGAGAUUUAGUAAUAUUACAUCUCAGCCCGCAUUUAAGUUCUAUGCAAUAUAUAUUAUAUACACCAAAUAAUAUAAUAUAAUUAAUAUAAAUGUCAAAUUUUAAAAAAUAACAAUUGAUGUACUUACACUAAAAUCAAAUAUUUUGCUUAUCUUGGAAUAAAUAUGUCUUCAAAUAAGAAAUCUAAAUAAGGAUACUUUAGAUAGACCCACAUUUGAAAACAUUUAUGUUUCUUACGAGUAUAAAGAAGGCAGAUAAGGAUCAUUAAUCAUCAAGGAGAGUGUAAUUGUAGUAAAACAGAGAGAAAUGGAAACUGAACUUGAUUUUUACCUCUAUAAUGCCAACAUAUUUUGAUCAUUGUGUUCUAUAUUUGUGAUAAAAUAAAUCUUAGGAUUAUCAUAUGAUAUUUCUCUGAUAAAAAUGCAAUCUAAAAUCACCCAUCAAAUAUUAUUUACCAUAAAUUUCUAUCAGAUCUCUACAUUUAAUCCAAACUAGAAAAAAAUAUUAAUAUUAUUUCUGAAACAUAAUCUUAAAAUUUUAUAACUAAUUAUAUUAUGUUCUUGAGCACCAAUCAGUGUGAUACUGAAUUAGAAAUUUGAAAUAGAUAAAUGGUAUAAAAUUUAUAUGUACAUGUAAUAGUUAUUACUUUUAUAAUUGCUCUAAAUAAAAAAAUAAAUACUAUAUCCAAUAAAAUUUACUCAAAUUCUCUGAAAUUUCAUAUAUGAUCGAUCCAUUAAAAAAAUUCACUUAAAUGAUCUCUAUUGUAAUAUAUAAAAGGAUUUCAAUUGUUUCUUUAUCAACAGAAUUUCCUCAUAUAAAUAAAAUUUUAUUUCUUAUUUUUUACCCAAAAAAUAUUGACUGUGAAUUAGAUAUCUAUUUUUGAUAAAAUAUGAGCGAGUCUAAUGCAUUAAUAUACCAAAUAAGUAAAACAGAAUCUGGAAUUAUGCAAAACCACCUCCUUUCAUCUAAAUUAAAGGAGCUAAGUAGCUUAAAUUAGAUAUAUUGUAACACAGGAUACAUUUGACUUCCUAUAUAUACAUAUACUUUCUUGUUUCUAUACACACAACAAAUUUUAUGAUAAAAAUCAAUUUAUUCAUAUUACCGAGGAUGGAAAAAUCACUUAUAUUUUCAUUUAAUGUUUUAACUCUGCUCCUCAUUUUUGUACUAGUGGCCGGAACGAAGGGGCAAGGGAAUAAAAAAGAUUUGUGUCGUAUAAGUCUAGAUAACCAAAAGCCUGGAAGUUGUCAAAACAAGCCAGCUUGCCUAUCUGCGUGCAAAAAGAGGAUAGAAGGGUCAGGAUUACAUGAAAUAAACGCUCGUUGCUCCUCUGGAAACAAAUGUGCGUGCUAUGCUCCAUGUCCAAAAUGAUCUUAAUGUUUAGUUUAUUGACAACGAAAUUCGGAUAUAUUUAUAAUAAAUUAUGAUGCAAUUUAUAGUAAUAAUUAAAUAAGUUGUCAAAUUA